GAUGAACGCUGGCGGCGUGCCUAAUACAUGCAAGUCGAGCGAACGGACGAGAAGCUUGCUUCUCUGAUGUUAGCGGCGGACGGGUGAGUAACACGUGGAUAACCUACCUAUAAGACUGGGAUAACUUCGGGAAACCGUAGCUAAUACCGGAUAAUAUUUUGAACCGCAUGGUUCAAAAGUGAAAGACGGUCUUGCUGUCACUUAUAGAUGGAUCCGCGCUGCAUUGGCUAGUUGGUAAGGUAACGGCUUACCAAGGCAACGAUGCAUAGCCGACCUGAGAGGGUGAUCGGCCACACUGGAACUGAGACACGGUCCAGACUCCUACGGGAGGCAGCAGUAGGGAAUCUUCCGCAAUGGGCGAAAGCCUGACGGAGCAACGCCGCGUGAGUGAUGAAGGUCUUCGGAUCGUAAAACUCUGUUAUUAGGGAAGAACAUAUGUGUAAGUAACUGUGCACAUCUUGACGGUACCUAAUCAGAAAGCCACGGCUAACUACGU
rnacentral:rRNA from 1 species